rnacentral:rRNA from 1 species
UACGGAGGGUGCAAGCGUUAUCCGGAUUCACUGGGUUUAAAGGGUGCGUAGGUGGGCUGGUAAGUCAGUGGUGAAAUCUCCAGGCUUAACUUGGAAACUGCCAUUGAUACUAUCAGUCUUGAAUACCGUGGAGGUCAGCGGAAUAUGUCAUGUAGCGGUGAAAUGCUUAGAUAUGACAUAGAACACCAAUUGCGAAGGCAGCUGGCUACGCGAAUAUUGACACUGAUGCACGAAAGCGUGGGGAUCAAACAGG